GUUGGAUUUGUGUGAAUAGAUGUCUCAUAUGAAUCCCAAAAGGAUUGCCAAUCUAAAAUAUUCCCUUUAAAAGUAGGCAAGUUCAACUUUGGUAAUUUGUGGUACUGAUUAUUUGUGCUAGAAGACGAAUGUAAACUUGGAAUAUGCAUAGACGGGUUCGUAGUAGGAAUAAUCUCUGAUAUAGCGGGGUUACUUGUAUAAAACGAGGCUGCAUUCGAUUGUACAUGAGAUGUCGACGUGAAACAAUUGGCGUGCGGGUUCAAUUGAGAAGAGUCGCUUGCGGGUACACUAUUUGCUGUAGGUGAAAUCAAGGUAUGCAUGGGUGUAUCAGAGGGAGUAACGUUACUAGCUUGAAAAACGGUAGUAUUGACGGGUAAAUUAUGACUUUUCGACUGGGAGGGAUUAAUGAGUUUUCUAAUUUGA
rnacentral:lncRNA from 1 species